AAGGAGGUGGCACUUGGGGACAAGGGGUGGGGACAGGCUGGACUCGAUGACUUUGGAGUUUUUUGUGGUUCCGUGGUGCUGAGAGAGAGUCAGGGGAAUUUCUGCCUCUUCGCCAAAUGGAUUUCUCCUGUCUGUGAAAAGUGGAAAAUGAUUUUUUUCAUAUUUUUUUUCAUCAAAAGCAUUAGGCUCACCUGUUGUUCACGGGGAAAUUAAUGAAAUUAUUGUGUUUUAGCUGAUUUCUGAGUGCCCUGUCUUUGCAGAGGGGUGGGCUCCCUGCUGGACCCGGUUUGUGUGAAAGAAUUUCUUCCCUGGCCUCCAAUUAAAAUUUCAGCCAGCACUGCGAGGGUGUCAAACGCUGCACAAGGGGAUUUGUGAUCACAGCUUGUCAACACAGAGUGCUUUAGUCUGAAUAACCCCCCUGCUCUUUGCACAGGGUGAAAAGUGAUAUUUAGAGGAGGCUCUGGAGGAGUGCAGUGCCUCCAAAAUCAAGAGGCAGAGCCUGCAGGGACUGGGCUCUGCUUUGCUGCAGCUGCCUGGAAGAAAAGAUGCUCCACACCAUGAAGCUGAUGGCUUUUCUCUUCCUUCUUUCCUCUGAAUUUGGAGCAGUAUUUUGAAAAGGGCUGAGACAACACCUUAGAUCCAGGCUUGUGUCUUCCAGCAGAGUUUUCAGUAUGGUUGGUGCAUAUGGGUAAAAAGGAGGGGUUCUGCUGAUCAGUUUCCAAAUGGAAUUUUACAACCUUCUUUGGCAAGAGAAGACAACCACGUGCUGAAACCAGUUCAGGGCAGAUUAGGUACAUUGAGCCAUCCCCAGUGUGAGCUUCCAGUUAAAUCUGAUUUAAGAGGAUUGCCACAAUGACCUGACUAAGCAGAGGCAUACCUGAGGCUGAGUUUUAGCUUUCCCUGGGCCUGACUGAAAGCCUGUGAAAAUCAGGAAAUAUCUGCUAUUUCCACUGUAUCUUUACUGCCUGCAAUCAGAUCCACAGAAAGCAGAGAAAAAUCUGCACAUUUUCAUUGCAAUCUUUGUUGUCCUACCCCACACAACUAUCAGCUAUUUGCAGAGGUGAUGACUUUUGGUGUGGUAGGUGGAUAAGGAAGAUGAGGAAGAAAAUGAUUCUUGACUAGCUGAAGUCUUUCUUGACCUCGAGAUCCAUGAUGCUACAGCUCUGCCUCUAGCUUCCACUCAAAACAUUUUCCUUUUACACAGGAGAGUCCCCCUCAAAAAUAUUCAAAUUGAGUUUCAGGGGAGGGUUGAUUUUAGACGAGCAGGGAUGUUUGGCUAGGAACACAAACAUUUUCCUUGCCACUUAAAACUUUGUGUCAUAGCAUCAUGUUUUCCUGUUGAUUUCUUCUUUUACUUAAUGCUCUGAAUUACAAACUGUUGUGAAGAUUACAAGCAAACAGGAUGAUUUGUUACCUGUGAUUUUUAUUGAGCAUCAGUGUUCUGUGGGAGGUGCAGCCUGGAACUGCUCUGAGGAAAAACCCAACGCUGAACAAAGUGUUUGGUUUGCUAAUGGCAAGGUACAGAACAUUUCUGUGUCUUGUGGGCUUGAUAAUUCCACCUAAAUACAAGACUGCAGUCUGGUGACCUCGUGUAGGGUUCUGCCUGUAGCUCCCACAGCUCUGUGUGGCUUUUUCUUGUUCUAUGUCCCACGAGAGUUAUCUUGAACUCUUAUUCAGGGACUGAAUUGGAGAUUUCUGGUUGUACCUGAACCCAAGUGUGGCUGUUUGUGACACAGCAGCACUUGUCUGGGCUGGUUGAUAUUAAAAUCCAUUCUCAUCAUUGUCUCAGUUUUAUAUUCCCUGCAACCUUCCAGGGUCCUGCAAGCUGAAAAAAAAAUGUCAGUAGAAGACAGUAGAGCUCUCUGGCUUGUCAGAGUGAUUCAUGAAAGGAGACAUCCUUUCAGCUGGUUCUAUUCCAUUCCUACAUCUCUAAAUCUGUGUGCUGUACUGCUUAUACUGGUGUUAAAUGUCACUUAGCCUUAAAACAAAAUCAGUUCUUCUGGUAAAUAACUGAUCUGGUUAUUGCUUAAUUGGAUGUCUUGUAGCACACAACUUUUAAUUGUUUAUUUUUUUUUUAAUUUUUUUCAAUUUUUGUACUAAAAGCCUCUGCAAUUAAAUUCAAAGUGCUGAUCUGCACAAACUUGGAACUGCCUACAGUUUUUAUUGUAAAUACUUGUUGGAUAAAACCUUUUCCCUGUUAAUGAAGGUAGAUAGGAGGUAAAACAGUUGUCACAGUUCAACAGGCAGAGAAAAAUUGUUUGUUUUUCUGUUUUUCUUCCCGUUUCUGCUUUCAUUAAAGCAAUGCUCUCACUGGAAUAUCUAAGUAGCUGCAAUGCUUGCCAGAGGAAUAUUACUUCUUUAUUACAGUGUA